rnacentral:tRNA from 1 species
GCCUGGCUUGUUCAGCUGGUAGAGCAUGAGACUCUUGAUCUCAGGUUCGUGAGUUCAGGCCCCAUGUUGGGUG